GAGGAAAAGAAACCAACAGGGAUUGCCUUAGUAGCGGCGAGUGAAGCGGCAAAAGCUCAAAUUUGAAAUCUGGCACCUUCGGUGUCCGAGUUGUAAUUUGAAGAUUGUAACCUUGGGGUUGGCUCUUGUCUAUGUUUCUUGGAACAGGACGUCACAGAGGGUGAGAAUCCCGUGCGAUGAGAUGCCCAAUCCUAUGUAAGGUGCUUUCGAAGAGUCGAGUUGUUUGGGAAUGCAGCUCUAAGUGGGUGGUAAAUUCCAUCUAAAGCUAAAUAUUGGCGAGAGACCGAUAGCGAACAAGUACAGUGAUGGAAAGAUGAAAAGAACUUUGAAAAGAGAGUGAAAAAGUACGUGAAAUUGUUGAAAGGGAAGGGUUUGAGAUCAGACUCGAUAUUUUGUGAGCCUUGCCUUCGUGGCGGGGUGACCCGCAGCUUAUCGGGCCAGCAUCGGUUUGGGCGGUAGGAUAAUGGCGUAGGAAUGUGACUUUGCUUCGGUGAAGUGUUAUAGCCUGCGUUGAUGCUGCCUGCCUAGACCGAGGACUGCGAUUUUAUCAAGGAUGCUGGCAUAAUGAUCCCAAACCGCCCGUCUGAAA
rnacentral:rRNA from 1 species